rnacentral:rRNA from 1 species
CAGCCGCCGCGGUAAUACGUAGGGUGCGAGCGUUGUCCGGAUUUAUUGGGCGUAAAGGGCUCGUAGGUGGUUGAUCGCGUCGGAAGUGUAAUCUUGGGGCUUAACCCUGAGCGUGCUUUCGAUACGGGUUGACUUGAGGAAGGUAGGGGAGAAUGGAAUUCCUGGUGGAGCGGUGGAAUGCGCAGAUAUCAGGAGGAACACCAGUGGCGAAGGCGGUUCUCUGGGCCUUUCCUGACGCUGAGGAGCGAAAGCGUGGGGAGCGAACAGGCUUAGAUACCCUGGUAGUCCACGCUGUAAACGGUGGGUACUAGGUGUGGGGUCCAUUCCACGGGUUCCGUGCCGUAGCUAACGCUUUAAGUACCCCGCCUGGGGAGUACGGCCGCAAGGCUAAAACUCAAAGGAAUUGACGG